rnacentral:lncRNA from 1 species
GUAAUAUGGAAUGACUGGUGGUGGUGGAGAUGCAUAGGAGACUCCUACAACUGGUGGAAGAGGUACAUUUUCGUAUGUUGGCGGUGGCGGUGAUGGCGAUGGUGGUGGGGGUGAUGAAUAGUAGUAAGUUGGUGGUGGAGGUGAUGGUGAUGGUGGUGGCGGUGAUGUGUAAUGGUAAGUGGGAGGGGGAGGUGAUGGUGGUGGUGGUGAUGAAUAGGUAUAUGGUGGUGAUGGUUUUGGUUCCCAGUGUGAAGUCGGAGGUGGAGGAGGUGGAUCAUUGCAAGGUAGGGUAGGUGGGGCAGGAGUGUAUCCACCUGGUGGUGGUGAUGGAUAUGGAGUUUUUGGAUGUUCGUAUGACGGUGGUGGUGGUGGUGGUGGUGGUGGUGAUGGAGUUCUUGGAUGUUCAUAUGUUGGUGGUGGUGGUGGUGAAUGUGGCGUAUACGUUGGUGGCUCGUGAUACACUGGGGGUGGUGGUGAAUGAGGCGUAUAUUUUGGUGGCUCGUGAUACACUGGGGGUGGUGGUAAAUGAGGCGUAUACGUAGGUGGCUCGUGAUACACUGGGGGUGAUGGAGAAUGAUAAACUGGUGGUGGUGGUGAUGGAGAUGGGCGGUAAUAUAAAGGUGAUGGUGGAGGAGGAGGUGAUUGAUGAGUUACUGGAGAAAUUUUAUGCAUAGGUGGUGGAGGACUUCUAUGUUGAUAGGUUGGGGACUUUUUGUAGGUAGGUGGUGGUGGUGGUGGUGGAGGCAGAGGAGUUGAUUGAGGUGGCGGUGGAGAAUGCUUGUUAUGCGAACCCGAAGAUUUCGAAGAAGGUGGUGGUGGAGAUUCAAUUGGUACAACAGGUCUUGUUGGACGAGAUGGCUUUGGUGCUGGUGGUUUGUUGUGAACAGGUGGUCUCUUAGGUUUUUGUGUUGGUUUUGGUCUUGGCUUUGUUG